rnacentral:tRNA from 2 species
GGGUUCGUAGCUCAGCUGGUUAGAGCACUUGCUUGACAUGCAAGAGGUCCCGCGUUCGAGUCGCGGCGAACCCA